GCUUCUACAGAGCCCAGGCCACCACGAGUCCCGUCGCUCCCCCUGCAGCAUCCAGCCAUAGGCUUCCGACUAAACAAAUUUUCCUGAUGCCUGGCAAUGGCAGGGGACGCAUAAGAGCCUGGCCACCCAGGUGUUCCAUCUGAAUACUACUCACCCCCUUGUGGCUGGCUGGCCCCGGCCUCCCCAGCCACCUUAUUACAGAUACCGUGCGAUCUGUCACUCCCCUUGUGUCAUGCAUAGGCAUUAAACUGGCUGCUGUUGAAGGAAUCCAGGUUCAGGAAGCACUUGCAACGUAGUCGUCUCCCGCGGAACAUGAAGGAUUAGGGGAUGUUCAGAGAAUGGAAGUUCUUCUUGGCUUGGUCUGCGGAGCGACCUUCGAGGGCCUUGCCCAGUGGGAUGUUCUUCCUGGGCAGGGGGAGGGAGCCGAUGUGGCUGGCUCUCUGCCACUGUGGGCAAGGGAGACAGCGAUGUCCUGGAGCCCUUGCUGAAUGGAAUUGGCAAGUUCAUGGAAGGAGGAGAUGUUGCAGUUGGAGUUCCCAUAAGUUUAGGUGAAAUUCUGGCCAGCAUGCGCCAGCAACUACAAAAUUUACUGGCAACAGUCGAUUUGUUAGAAAAAUUUGUUUAAAAUGAAAAAAAAAAAAAAAUAAAUAUAUAU